rnacentral:misc_RNA from 1 species
GGACGACCUCGCAAAGCUUCAGAAUAAGAAUGCUCAUCAAUUAGCAAUGGAAGUCAUUCGCAACUACGUGGCUGCUCAACAAAAUGGGAGGAAUGAAUGAUUUGGUAAGAGAGAUCAUUUAAAUUUUGUCGCCUUAGAAGUUGAUGUUAAAAGGGUGAACGAGUGUAAUAGUGUACUCAUUCUCUCCUUGGGCUUGUUACUGUUUUGUAACAGCUGGAAUGAAUGGAUGCUGCUGGAUUUGGUUUAAUUUUGUACCCAAAGUUAAUUGUUUGUCUGCAUGAGCUUUGUAUUUACCGUUUUCUUGGAUUUUUGUAACUUAUUUUAAGAUUGGUUCUAAUAAAAU